AUUUAAUUGGGGACACUUACAGUAUUAGUCCAUCAUCACCGUGGAGAGAAGCAUGGCACAGGCAGACAGACAUGGUGCUGGAGAAGUCCUACAUCUUGAUCUGCAGGCAGCAGGAGACGGUGUGCCAUAGUGGGCCUAACUUGAGCACAUGAGAUCUCAAAGCCUGCCUCCACAGUGACAUACUUUCUUCAAUAAGCCACACCUCCUCCAAUAAAGCCACACCCAUUCAAGUAAGGCCACACCCCUAAUGCUACCUUAUGGGCUUAUGGGGGCCAUUUUUAUUCAAACCACUGCAGGUACAUUAUUCUACUUAUUCAAAAUUGUUGUCUAUGUGAUUUAUUUUCUAUGAUAUAUAGAUUUCUUUAUUCUUUGGGAAUGUUGAGCUCAACUACUAAAAUAUUAAUUUUGUGUGGGAUUCCAAAAUUGUUUUGGUUUGUUCCGGAUAUUGCCUUGUAUAUAUAAAGGGUAUAUAAAGAUCUGGUUAUUCUCUGCAUGCGUUUUCCCCAGGGAAACGCGUAAAUGUAGUUGUAAUUUCCUGUUCAUGAACAACUUGUUUUAAAUUUAGAAUCAGACGGUACAGCUCCAUGUAGAGGGGGCAAUAAAUUAGAUUGCUUUCAAAGCAAUACCUUUUGUAAUGAACUAUUAGCUCACCAUUUUCCUGUUUUCUUAGUUAUAUAAAAUAUUGCGCGAUGUAGGAAAACGAUACGGAAAUGCUUAAAGGAAUUUGAGAGUCUACAUAUUUGUGCGAUAGGCAGGCCUCAUCGUGCUUUAGGGGAACGAGACUUACACACUAAUAAAUAAAACAUUACCAGCGUAAGGACAAAGUGAAGCUGAUCUCAUCCCCAGUGCUUGGCAGCAGACUUUCUGAGAGGUUUCAGGCUGUGUAGGCUGUGCCAUUGCUUAAUAGCCCGUAUGACAGCAGCGGCCCAUCCUGCUUGGGGGUCUGGCAUUACCGAGGUGGUGCAGUAGGGGACUUUAAUAUGCUCGAGCCUCCUACCAGUUGGGGAUCUCUUUUUACCCUCAAGGAAAAAUAAAAAAGAAACUUCUUUUGAAAAGUUAAUUUUUGAAGUUGGAUUACUUAUUGAUAUGCCUGCUGCUAAUCAAGGGAAAAUUUUUUGGCUAUAAUCUUUUAAUUUUUUUAAAAAAUCUGGAAUAGAAACCAUUGCUCAUGCUUGGCAUUUCAUCGGAAACAAUCCCCUGUCACAAGGCUUUGGAAAAGGCCUCAUCCCUCCUCCCCAUCCCCCAAACGCACCUAUUUCAACAUAUCACUCUGCUGACUUUUCCUAUUUCUUGUUUCUCUAUCUGUGUUAUGUUUCUCUUGAACGUUAAUAUUUUUCUCUUCUCACCAAGUUUCCAGUCUAGAAUACUGCCCUACCGCUUUGCUUUGUUCUGCCUUUCAUUCUUGUGUCUUUAGAGGACAAACGUGAAGUGUAAUGGGAGAUGGAAUUCAGCAAACACAGGCUGUGGACAGCUAUGGUUCUCAGCGGCCUCUCUCCAUUCGCUUACCUUCCUUCCAACACAGUGACCACCAACAGAUGAAUGAAGGGAGUAAGGUUUUUAAAUCUUCCCAACCUGGUUUUUUUAGAACGGUAUCUUACUGUGUCUUGCUUUACAUUUUCCUGCUGAUAAAAUGGUCAUUUCAUUUCUUCUUCUGUGACUUACGCUUUACCCAAUUUCCCCAUUUUAAUUACUGAUUUGUAAGUUAUUUACCUGUCCACUGUACUCUGGCAUGUUGGUUUCUGUGCUAGCAACAUGUUAGAUUAGGUACUGAGGUUUUCGAGGAAAUCCUAGCCUACUCAGAUCAGGUAAUUAUACUAACCAAGUGUUUGGUGUUCCAAAAUGUUAUUGAGGGAUCCACGGAUUCCUAAGAUCUAGGCUGGCUAAGGGGCAAAAUACAACAGGAAACUGAUUAAGUGUAAUGGAACCUUUGUGGAGUCACACAUAGCCAUGGGUGAAGACUAAAUGAUAAGGUGAGAACAGGUAGUGAAAGAGUUCCCAAAGACAAGGCGAUCUGAUAGACCAUUAAUGGCUUCUUCACUAACGUUAUGAAGCUGUUAAGAGCAUUUCUAUCGCUGCCGCAUAGGCAGCAGCUGUUAAAACAGCAUGAGGAGGUCCCGUAGUCUGUAAAGAUGGAGAGACGGGGCUAGCGAGAAUAUGCUAAUACGGAAUAGCAAAGGAAGCCAAUCUGGAAGUCCAGUCUAGGCAGUGCUGGACGCUACUUGCUCUGAGCCCAGGAUCUUACACUCACAGUUAGAUGACAGCUGACUGCGGAAAUCGUGUGAUACAACCUAACUCAUCUCUACGUAUUUUUAAAAGCUCGUCCCUCUGAUUCCUAGAAGUCGUCUUGAAAACUACAUUUCCCAGAAAACCUUACGGCUUCUACUUCCUCUAGAUGCGAGCAGUGCGUGAUUUCCUGAGUCCGUAAGGGCUUCAUCGACUGUGAUGAAGAGUAAACUUUUUUUUUUUUUAAACAUCUCACUUUUGAGCAAGGGAAUCGAGCCAGAGCCUUUGCUCAGAACCAACUUGCCUCGAGGCCCGCUGGGAAAUGUAGUAGCUUUAGCUUGUAGUUCUGUGACGCCCUGGUCUCUUUGCUGCAGCGGCAAUUGGCAGAGAGGCAAUAAUCACUGGAAAAGACUGGUGGUUGUCCACGCUGGUUCCUCCCUUCCGCCAGAAGGCGCUGUGGAAGAACGUCUGAGAGUAGGGACAGGGUGUCCCAGAGCAGGGGUUUUCCUUCCAUCCAUUUAUCUUGAGCGUUCCCAGACUUGGGUUUCUAGUAAUCACCUUUUAGAGAGAUUUACUGAGAAAUAGAAAAACUGUAAAACGAGAAAAUAAUGGCCCUAAAUUACUCCCCCAACACCUGCUGUUCUUGGGAAGCUUUGAGACGUUAUUAAGAGCUAUGGUGCUGUGCACAUGAGGUUUGGAGACACUACGAGAAAGUAGUUCUGCUCCAUCAUGACUUUCUCCAUGAUGCUCUGCCUCACCCCAGCCCUGGACUCGUGGAGUCAGGUGACCACAGUCGGAGAUUUCUGAAGCACUUGACAACGGUAUUCAGGAGGUGACCCAGAUCAUGCUCUCCUUCCAAAGACAGAUCGAUUCCUUGGCAGCUGUGGUGCAUCAGAACCAAUGGAGACUAGAUGUUCUUACAGUGAAAGAAGGUGGUCUUUGGCUUUUCCUUCAAGAAGAAUGCUGCUUCUACAUCAAAGAGUCCGGAAUAGUGAGAAACAAAAUCCAGCAGCUACAAUCAGACAUCCGAAAAGACAGGGAACAGCAUGAGGCCUCUAAUUCCUGGGUUUUUUGAAAACCCUAUAUGGAAGUGGAUACUGCCUUUCCUUACCCCACUUCUGGCAUCACUAUUUGCUCCCUGCCUCAUUAACCUCAUCUCCACAUUCCUCCAAUGACAAACUCAAAAAAAUUCUAACCAAACAGUUAAUCAGUUCUUUUUACAGGAUUACCAACCACUGUCCACAGAGGAACCUGAUGCAGAAAAACUAUCAAAUGAGCCCUGAUGGUGAGGGUCAGCUACACCCCAAAAUCAAUGAUGUUCCUGGAUAGUAGGAAGUAGUUUAAGAGAUCAGAUGUCCCUAUUCCGGCCUCACCAUUGGUGUGAUGAUAAAAAAGAAGAAAAAGAGAGGAAUGUUAGCAUCAGGUGCAUCCCUGGACAGCUAGACGCCUCUUUACAGCUACCUCUAGGACCCAGGGACAAGACUCAAUGGCUCAUUGCCAUGGCACCUGGUACAUGUUCCUUUGCAAAGUCACACCUGGAUAAAACACUCAUCCCCCCACCCCACCAGUACACAGCUCCUUCCUCUUCCUCCUCCUCCUCCUCCUCUUCUUCUUUCUUCUCCUCCUCUCACCUCCCCUCCCCUUCACAGAGGCAGCCUCUGCCAAUAAAAUCUCUCACGUGAGACCUGUGGCUUGGUGUGAUUUGUCUGCCACUGCACAGCAUAUUCUAACACUCUCAUUCCUCAAAACCUCAUUCCCCUGCAGUCUUCUGCACUGCUAUCCUGAAGUGACACUCACUGAUGUUCUGCGCUCCUCGUGGGACCCUCUAUGUGCCUGUGUUCUCUACUUAUUCCUUCUUGGCACUUCAAGCUUGGCCAUGAGAAUGCCCUCUCUUGGUUUCUACUUCUGAUUCAGUGAUCUAUUUUCUUAGCUUUUGUUGAAAAAUACCUCUGUCUACAAAGUACAUGGCUCUGAUUUCUACCUUUUGGGUCCCUUACGAUACUGGGGAUCAAACCCAGGGCCUUGUAAUACUUCUGUAUGCAAACACCGUACCACAGAGCUACACCCCCCAUCCUUUGUUCUUCAUUCUCUGAACCCCUAGGUGCCCCAAUUGCUUUUCAUUGUUGCUUUGUUUUUCUCUUGAAAUAGUGCAUUGUUAUAGAAAUCUUCUCCAUUCUGGGAGAGUUAUCUAUUUUCUUAGGAUAUCCUGGUCUAAUCAAAGUUUUUUCUUCUAUGAAGUCACUCAAAUCAAACCCUAGAGGUAUGUGUGCUCCAGAGUUUCCUUCACAGAUCUACAUAGAAUACCUAACAACGUCUCCAAAACAAGACUUAGGUUUCCUUGGGUUUCAGACACUAGGGUGUUUCAUGUUAUACUGAUAGGAAAGACAGAAACACCCCAUUUAUUCCUGGAGGUGGGCUCUCUGGUUGUACAUCCAGACCAUUGAGCCACUGAUGCCCAGCAUCUUCUGGAAAUAUUAGUUGGUUUUAAAUCUGUGUUUGUCUCAUUUCAAUUUUUAAAUAUGAAGUGGAGAGAAAGAGAGAG
rnacentral:sRNA from 1 species